rnacentral:rRNA from 1 species
UGAACGCUGGCGGCGUGCCUACUACAUGCGAGUCGCGCGACCAGACGCGGAGCUUGCUCCUCUGACGUUAGCGGCGGACGGGUGAGUAACACGUGGAUAACCUACCUAUAAGACUGGGAUAACUUCGGGAAACCGGAGCUAAUACCGGAUAAUAUAUUGAACCGCAUGGUUCAAUAGUGAAAGACGGUUUUGCUGUCACUUAUAGAUGGAUCCGCGCCGCAUUAGCUAGUUGGUAAGGUAACGGCUUACCAAGGCAACGAUGCGUAGCCGACCUGAGAGGGUGAUCGGCCACACUGGAACUGAGACACGGUCCAGACUCCUACGGGAGGCAGCAGUAGGGAAUCUUCCGCAAUGGGCGAAAGCUUGACGGAGCAACGCCGCGUGAGUGAUGAAGGUCUUCGGAUCGUAAAACUCUGUUAUUAGGGAAGAACAAAUGUGUAAGUAACUAUGCACGUCUUGACGGUACCUAAUCAGAAAGCCACGGCUAACUACGUG